CAUUUAUGUUGCAAAGGGAAAAGAGAAAGAGCAGCAGGUAGUAGGAAUGGUUGGGAGGAAAGAGAACAGAGAGAGGACCCAAAGGAAAAAGGAUCCAAGGCCCCAAGGCCUGGUCCCUCUUCCAACAACAACAAUAAACCCCAUUAGCAAAGCCCCCCCCCCCAAGCAAAACAAGCCCCUUCUAUUUGGACUCACAAAUAGAAAAAUACAUACUAAAAUGGGAAGGCAGUGAGUGGGUCACAGUGGCUUGGCUUCUCCCCACACUCCCUCGCUCCUUUCCCCCUUCUCCCUUCUUCCUUUCCCCCCAAUCCCACUGCUUGCUUUACAGGGGAGGCAAAAGGAUCAAAGGGACCCGAGCCAGCUCCACGCGGAGCCUGAUUCCUUCUCUUUGGUUGCUGCAAGGCAAGUUGCAGCCAAGGCGGGGGGAGGUGCUGGGCUUCUCAGUCUGCAAAAUGCCCAACAUCCUCCUUCUCCAGAGGGAGCUGCUGGGUGCUUUGCAGACUGGAGAAGUGCUGUUUCACGUCUGCAAACGGCCCGACGUCUUCCUUCUGGGGAGGAAGGCACUGGGCUCUGCAGGGCAGAGGCACAGCAGCGGAGGCAGGAGUUGCCUUGAUGGCGCCCCCUACAGGUUGGUUUGCCUCUCGGUUGAACCGUCUCUGAUUAUAAGUUGAUCCCAAAGUUCCCCCCAGCUGUGGAAAGACCACGCAGUGAUAAUAGAUGGUGUGCACUCAGUUUGUUUUUAAGAAAUACAAACCCUAAAUCAAAAUUAGCAUGGUAAAGACUAAGCCUGGAAUGCAAUUAGACCACUGAAUAGAAUCAAUAAAGGCAAACAUGAAGAGUUAUGUGCCUAAUCAGAGGAAUUUUAUGUGCUUAACCAGUGGAAUAUUAUGCUUCAAAGGCAACAUUUUGUAUUCAAAUGAAUUUUGAACUUAUCAGGAAAAAUGUUAAUAAAUUAUUUUCCUCCGAGUCUCAUUAUAUAACAUGUUCAUCUUGAAACGGAGGGAAAAUGCUGAUUUUGCAACACAUCUUCCCAACAGUUCCUCCAAUAAAUAUAAUGUAAAGAAAUUAAAGAGAGAG
rnacentral:lncRNA from 11 species